rnacentral:rRNA from 1 species
UACGAAGGGGCUAGCGUUGCUCGGAAUCACUGGGCGUAAAGCGCACGUAGGCGGCUUUCUAAGUCAGGGGUGAAAUCCUGGAGCUCAACUCCAGAACUGCCUUUGAGACUGCAUCGCUUGAAUCCAGGAGAGGUGAGUGGAAUUCCGAGUGUAGAGGUGAAAUUCGUAGAUACUCGGAAGAACACCAGUGGCGAAGGCGGCCAACUGGUCCGGUACUGACGCUGAGGUGGCGAAAGCGUGGGGAGCAAACA